CGAUGCAGUCGACGAACUCUGGUAUUGAUUGGUGCUUGCAUCAUGAUUUACAUUUGAGUGAGUGGCGAACUGGUGAGUAACACGUGGGAAACCUGCCCAGAAGCGGGGGAUAACACCUGGAAACAGAUGCUAAUACCGCAUAACAACUUGGACCGCAUGGUCCGAGUUUGAAAGAUGGCUUCGGCUAUCACUUUUGGAUGGUCCCGCGGCGUAUUAGCUAGAUGGUGGGGUAACGGCUCACCAUGGCAAUGAUACGUAGCCGACCUGAGAGGGUAAUCGGCCACAUUGGGACUGAGACACGGCCCAAACUCCUACGGGAGGCAGCAGUAGGGAAUCUUCCACAAUGGACGAAAGUCUGAUGGAGCAACGCCGCGUGAGUGAAGAAGGGUUUCGGCUCGUAAAACUCUGUUGUUAAAGAAGAACAUAUCUGAGAGUAACUGUUCAGGUAUUGACGGUAUUUAACCAGAAAGCCACGGCUAACUACGUGCCAGCAGCCGCGGUAAUACGUAGGUGGCAAGCGUUGUCCGGAUUUAUUGGGCGUAAAGCGAGCGCAGGCGGUUUUUUAAGUCUGAUGUGAAAGCCUUCGGCUCAACCGAAGAAGUGCAUCGGAAACUGGGAAACUUGAGUGCAGAAGAGGACAGUGGAACUCCAUGUGUAGCGGUGAAAUGCGUAGAUAUAUGGAAGAACACCAGUGGCGAAGGCGGCUGUCUGGUCUGUAACUGACGCUGAGGCUCGAAAGUAUGGGUAGCAAACAGGAUUAGAUACCCUGGUAGUCCAUACCGUAAACGAUGAAUGCUAAGUGUUGGAGGGUUUCCGCCCUUCAGUGCUGCAGCUAACGCAUUAAGCAUUCCG
rnacentral:rRNA from 2 species